AGAAACAUUGUAAACAAACUUCAGGCGACUUGGUCAUCCGGACCAAUCCAGUGUGCACCGGACCGUUUAUGUAGAGAGGGUGUAAAUCAGGCAGUUCGGGGGAUGGCCACCCGGACCGAUUCGAUGUGCAACGGACCAUCCGACAGAACUCAAUGAUUGGUUUCCUUAAACAACUAUGAUGGCGUGGCACAGGGUCCGUGGCAUGCUGGACUAGUUAGGUGUACUUGACAAGUAAAAACGGGCACCUGCUCCAGUUAAGGUCAGGCAGUCUGGUGGUACACCGGACUGGCACUGUAGGGACCUGACAGUGUAGUUUCUGUCCCACUUUUUCAAUGACUAUUUGGGGUGGUUGGGGCCAUAAAUACCCCCAACUAGCACAUUGAAUACACAAGAGCUACACCAAACAUUACUGCAACAAGUGAUUUGAGCUAUAGAGAAUUAGUGCCUUGCAAGCGUGUUCUUGGCUUGAGUUGUUGACAAGUUCUUGUGCUCUUGUUUUGAGGUUCUUAGUUCUUCUAACCUCAUUCUUAAGUUGUAACGAGCUAGCAAGAGACACCUAAGUGUAUGGUGAUCCUUGCAGGACUUGGUGUCCCUCGGAAAAGAGAAGAAAACUCGAUCGGUCUUGGUGACCUUUUGAGAGAGGGAAAAGGCUAAAAGAGACUCGUCCUUUAUGGACUCCUCAAUGGGGAGUAGGUUCUUCGGAACCGAACCUUAGAAAAUAAAUCGUCCGUGUUCUUUGUGUUUGAUCCUCAUUUGCGAUUUGCUUCUUGAAAGUUGCCUAGAGGGGGGGUGAAUAGGCAAGUUAAAACUGAAAGGGAAAUGUGCCUUUGGGCCAUUUCUAUAAUGUGUUUGGUGAUUAAGUGCCCAACAUGUUUAAUUAAGUUCUUAUGUGCCAAAUAAAGUGAGAAGUGCAAAUCAAGGCAAAAGGUAUGUUUCUAGACUUGGUGAAUUGUUUUAUGUACUAACAUGGUUAUUCAAGUGCUAGAAAUAGU
rnacentral:lncRNA from 7 species